rnacentral:lncRNA from 1 species
UCAAAUAUAUAGCUAACGAUAAUGCAGUUAAGGAUGAGUUGGGCAGCCUAGAUUUUCCUAUUUAACGAAUCAAGCACGGAAGCCGUUCGCAUGUUAGAUGUUUUUUCACGUGUACUACACUUAGUACAUAGAGUAAACCACCGAAUGUCAUACUAUACAUAUAUAGCAAGAAUUCGUCCUGACAAUUAAGGAGGAAGGUUCGAGAGAAGAAGUUAAUGUGUGAUAGUCAACUAUCGAAUAUCAUUCUAUAGAUGUGGCAAGAAUUUGUCCUGACAAUUAAGGAGAGAGAUUUGAGACAAAAAGCUAAUGCGUCAAUCAACUACUGAAUGUUAUUCUAUACGUAUAUCUAAGCAUAUAUAGCAAGAAUUCAUCCUGAAAAUAAAGGAGAGAGAUUUGAGAAAGGAAUCAACGUGUGCGUGAAUAUUUAAAUUUUUGACGCUUAGAUUUCUGAUCAUAUGCACAAUGGCUUGAAUUGCGUUGGAUUAAAUGAGUAAACAGAAGUUUUCGAGCUAUUGUCCUCUAUAAACUUACAGUCGUUUCUCAUGCUCCCGUAUAUAUACUCAGAUACGCGGGUUUAUAAUAUACUUUUGUUUUCCGACAAUAUAUUUCAUCCUUAAACUCUAACCGGGGAGAAUAAGUUCACAAAAAAAAAAU